rnacentral:lncRNA from 1 species
CUGUGUAUGUAGAUUCUUAAUUUUUGGUCCCGUUUUCAAAUUGGUCUACAUUAAGAUCCAAAGGGUCCAAAAUUAAACUUAGUUUGAUUUUAACAAAAAUUGAAUCCUUGGGGUUCUUUGAUAUGCUGAAUCUAAAAAUGUACUUAGAUUUUUGAUUAUUGGCCCAGUUUUCAAGUUGGUCCAAAUCGGGGUCCAAAAUUAAACUUUGUUUGAUUUCAUCAAAAAUUGAAUAAUUGGGGUUCUUUGAUAUGCCAAAUCUAACUGUGUAUGUAGAUUCUUAAUUUUUGGUCCUGUUUUCAAAUUGGUCUACAUUAAAGUCCAAAGGGUCCAAAAUUAAAGUAAGUUUGAUUUUAACAAAAAUUGAAUUCUUGGGCUUUUUUGAUAUGCUGAAUCUAAACAUAUACUUAGAUUU